rnacentral:rRNA from 1 species
AUUGAACGCUGGCGGCAUGCCUUACACAUGCAAGUCGAACGGCAGCACGGGUGCUUGCACCUGGUGGCGAGUGGCGAACGGGUGAGUAAUACAACGGAACGUACCUUAUCGUGGGGGAUAACGCAGCGAACGCUGUGCUAAUACCGCAUACGCCCUGAGGGGGAACGCGGGGGACCGAAAGACCUCGCGCGAUCAGAGCGGCCGAUGCCUGAUUAGCUUGUUGGUGGGGUAAAAGCCCACCAAGGCGACGAUCAGUAGCUGGUCUGAGAGGACGAUCAGCCACACUGGGACUGAGACACGGCCCAGACUCCUACGGGAGGCAGCAGUGGGGAAUUUUGGACAAUGGGGGCAACCCUGAUCCAGCAAUGCCGCGUGAGUGAAGAAGGCCUUCGGGUUGUAAAGCUCUUUUGUCAGGGAAGAAACGCCGGCUCUAACACAGUCCGGGAAUGACGGUACCUGAAGAAUAAGCACCGGCUAACUACGUGCCAGCCGCCGCAGUAA